AUUGAACGCUGGCGGCAGGCCUAACACAUGCAAGUCGAACGGUAACAGGAAGAAGCUUGCUUCUUUGCUGACGAGUGGCGGACGGGUGAGUAAUGUCUGGGAAACUGCCUGAUGGAGGGGGAUAACUACUGGAAACGGUAGCUAAUACCGCAUAACGUCGCAAGACCAAAGAGGGGGACCUUCGGGCCUCUUGCCAUCGGAUGUGCCCAGAUGGGAUUAGCUAGUAGGUGGGGUAACGGCUCACCUAGGCGACGAUCCCUAGCUGGUCUGAGAGGAUGACCAGCCACACUGGAACUGAGACACGGUCCAGACUCCUACGGGAGGCAGCAGUGGGGAAUCUUGCACAAUGGGCGAAAGCCUGAUGCAGCCAUGCCGCGUGUAUGAAGAAGGCCUUCGGGUUGUAAAGUACUUUCAGCGGGGAGGAAGGGAGUAAAGUUAAUACCUUUGCUCAUUGACGUUACCCGAAGAAGAAGCACCGGCUAACUCCGUG
rnacentral:rRNA from 1 species